ensembl:snRNA U7 U7 small nuclear RNA
UAGUAUUACAGCUCUUUUAGAAUUUGUCUAGCACGUUUUCUGGUCUCUACUGGAAGACACUC